CAUGCCCCUUAUACGCUGGGCUACACACGUGCUACAAUGGGUAGAACAGAGAGUCGCAAAGCUGUGAAGUGGAGCUAAUCUCAGAAAACUAUUCUUAGUUCGGAUUGUACUCUGCAACUCGAGUACAUGAAGUUGGAAUCGCUAGUAAUCGCGAAUCAGCAAUGUCGCGGUGAAUACGUUCUCGGGUCUUGUACACACCGCCCGUCACACCACGAGAGUUGGUUGCACCUGAAGUAGCAGGCCUAACCGUAAGGAGGGAUGCUCCGAGGGUGUGAUUAGCGAUUGGGGUGAAGUCGUAACAAGGUAUCCGUACGGGAACGUGCGGAUGGAUCACCUCCUUUCUAAGGAGUAUAAGUCUUUCUCUAUUCUAUUGGUAAUGUUCUUACAUUACUUCUGAACAUUGGAAACUAUAUAGUAGAACAAACAAGAAAAAAAUUAACUCUAACAAUUUCUUAGAGUUAGCUGUCAAAAAAAUAGGUUAAAAUAAUUAAGGGCACACAAAGGAUGCCUAGGUAGUAAGAGCCGAUGAAGGACGUGGUAAGCUGCGAUAAGCCUAG
rnacentral:sRNA from 1 species